AGGAGCUGGUUCGAUCUUCCCUGACACGGAAGAGGUCACUGGUUCAAUCCCAGUAUCGCGCACCA
rnacentral:tRNA from 1 species